AGCAAGUCCAGAGCUCUGCAGUUUGCAUCCCUGGAUGAAGUCUGUCAGCCAAGUGAAAAUCUGUUGAGACAAAUAUAGACUCGGGACAGAAGGAUCCCGGAGGCCCUCACCCACACCAUGGAAUCCCAGUCCUCCAACAGCUUCCAUGAUGGGGCUUCUUUUAGGAAAACCAAACUCGAGUUCUGGAGGCCAAGACCUGAAGGCCUGCACAGGGCGCCCAAGCCCACCAGGGGGUAGUGUCUACCCGUGCGGAGAGGCCCUGAGAGGCCCAAGCAGAGGAAGGCAGAGGCCAGAUCUUGUUAGGCAGUGCAGACGUGCACAAGAGAACGUGCUGGCCUCAGACCAGGCCUGGAGCGUGCAGUACCGUGCGUAUGCCUAGGUGUGGCCUCAGGUGCCAGACACUCAGCUGGUCGCUCUGACUUCCGGACCUCUGUCUGAAAAUUUCCCUGGCAGUCUGCAAUCCUUUGUCCACGGAGGCGGGAAGCUUAGCAGUUUGUCUUCUUUAUAGCCUGCAUCUUUAGAGGUGUUAAGGUCCCCUAGCCAUUGAUGGGAGGGUGUUUUCUGGGAUCAGCCGGCCUCCUUUCUCCACACUCCAUGAAGAGAUGGGCUGGCCUACAACUACUGCUAGGAACUCCAGAGGCCGCCAUAUUACUCUUAAAAAUUAAGAAGUUUGAUUAAUAAUUCAAGUUCAAGAAGAUAAGACAUCUUAAGAGGCGGGAGCUCUAACUUCCUUCUUCAUCUCCUCUGGGGUCCUGGAAAUGCUUGACAAUGGAACACGUUGGAUCAAACUGGGGGGGCCUCUGCCCAGGAAAGAAGGGUAAAGAUUGAAGGUUCACUGUGCUGGGGCAAUGCAGGCUGGCAGCCCUGUGACUCUAGACCAUGAUCCAGGGGAACUGAUCACGUGACUUCUAACAACAUUUGGUGAUGCUGAGUCUGUGUGACUCCAAAGCCUAGGUCCUAGGAAGCACUGUGAGCCUCUUCUUGAACCCUUUCUUGGAUCACGUACUGGGGAGAAGUCCGCUGCCGUGUCACAAGAAGGGUAUGUGGCAACAACUUAAGGUCACCAACAUUUCGUCCAAGUGAAUAGACAGUCACGUGACUCACAGAGCCAGCUGUCAGAUGACAACGCUGCGUGCAUCCUGACUCAAAUUCUUGCUAGAACUUGAGCCUGACCCUCAGACACAGAAACUGAAGCUCAACAGACUUCUCAAGGACAGGUGGAGUGAAACUAUCUGAUUCACAAGAUGGUGAGAUAGAACACAUCCUACUUUGAAGAAGCCAAAUCCAGGUUUAUGCUGACCUGGCACUGCUUCACCCAGCAUUCCAGAUGCAAAUGCGGAGAAUGGAGAGCCUGCAAGCAACUGGAUGGCUGUAGUUUGGAAAUAAAUAGUCCUGGAGCCGGGAUGCUCCUAAAGGAAGCCUGUAUCCGCUCAACUUGGUGGAUGCUGAAGUGCUGGGAGUCCUGAACAGGUGGCUGAAAGAGCAGCUUGGUCUCCCAACCUUGAUGCCUCAAGAAGGUACACAGAAAAUGGCCGUCAGCAUCCUUACAGAGUCACUAAGAAGACAAAAUUGGAGCAUCAAAGCCAUCCAGGAAGUGAAAAUACUCCAACCUGGGUCACACACAGAAAGCAGGAGAAAACUUUAACAUGUAUCCUGGCUGAAUCAGUGUCUAAAAGCAGCAUUUGAAAAUAUGAAACAAAAACUUUAAAUCAUUAGUUGCAAAGCUCAGAACAAAAAUAUCCCACAACAUCCUUAUAUACUCAAGAAAAAUGUGCAAUAAGAAUUGAAUAAACUCUGGAAAGCAAUAGAAGGAAAAAAUAAAUAAGAUAAAUAAAAAUAAAUGCUAUCUUAGUACCCAAAAGACCCCAAAUAUUAUUGGAUAUGAGGAGCAUGAGAGAGGUUAACAGAAUGGAGAUAAAGCAAAGGUGGGAACAAAAGUCAUAUGGAGACCAUGUGCUAGACAUCAGUCCCAGAAGUGUCUAAAGCAGAAAACACACAAUGAGAAAUAACACGUACCUAAAACUACAGGCUACAGUGAAUUUCUAUCAGGAAAUGAGGAUCUGAAGCCCCAUCUUUAAGGAUUCACAGUACACUUU
ensembl:lincRNA 6030407O03Rik RIKEN cDNA 6030407O03 gene